UUUGGAAGUACUUUUGGAUCACUGGUGGAAAAACUUGAGUUUUAUCAGACCUAAUAUGUUCCGUAUACUGCAAAAUAUUGUGAUAUCCAAAAUAUCACACUGACUUCAAUUGCUGUUCUUUCAUAAAACUGUGUUCUUGAAAUCUGACCAAAUCUAUUUGUGUGAGCUCAUUUUUAUUUAUCUAAUUUGCUGCAAAGAUAAACUGAGCACUUGAAUAAGAACUAAGUGGGCUACGUUGCACACAUGCAGAUUUCGCUGUUAAACCACAGAUUUCAUAAAUGUUUUCUUCGAAGCAGUGCUGAUGGCAUUAAUUUCAUCUUUAACUGUGUAUAGCUUGAAUUUUGUAGUGCAGUUCCCCCAUGAUUUUACUUGAUAUUGAUGCUGACUUAAUUGUCCUGUUAUAGUCUAGGUCAUCUUCCUUUUUUUAAUUUUGGGCUGAAAAAGUUGACCAGCUGACCAUGCCAGAAUGAAUGCCUAUCUUUUGAUAUUCAUUGAUGUGACUGCUGCAGACAGACUGAAUGACUUUCUUCUCUUGAAAACAGAUUCAAAUAACCACUGUUGCUUGAUAAGCAAACAAUAAAUGGAUUGGGUUUUUUACUCUAGUUCUUCCUGAGAAAGAGGGCUCCAUUAUGUUCAGGAGCAGAAUGAAAGUGAAACUCAUCAUUAGUCUGGUUGAUUCAGUGUCUGAAUACACUUCGUACCAUGAGGAUCCUCUUCCCUGAGCCAAAGUCUGUCAGAGUCAAUUUCAGCAGCUGAUGAGGCCCUUCAGUGCCUAGAUUGCAGGAGCGUGAUAAAAAUAUCUGAAGAUAAAUGUUAUUGUUCGUGGUCCCUGUGUUCCCGCUGCAAAUUACUCACUGUACACUGAGAGAAAGUCUGUAU